rnacentral:lncRNA from 1 species
AAAUAGUAGGAGCGACGGGAGCGGGAGGAGAAUCGAUCGGAGACUCAACCGGAGAUUCGGAAGGUGAGACGGUGGUUGUUGUUGGUGUUGGAGAAGGUGGAGAUGAAACUUGAGGAGGUGAGGCUGGAGCGGGAGUAGGUGUAGCGGUGGGAACUGGAGGAGGAGUGGCGGUGGGAGUUUGAGGAGGAGUGGCGGUGGGAGUUUGAGGAGGAGUGGCUUUUGGUGUAGGUGUAGAUGCCGCCGGAGCCGGUGAUGAUUUGGGUGAGGCGGUGGGAGAGGUAGAAGGUGCUUGACCGAGAGCGCCGGUAGCAAGUAAAACGGUUAGGAAGAAGAAAGCAAUGUUAUGAGAAGACAUGGUUGAUGAUAUAUUAAAAUAUUAUUAUUAUUAUGUGAAUGAAUGAAUGAAUAUUGGUAAUGUGAGAGUGAGAAAGAGAAAGAGAAAGAGAAAAGAGAAAUAGUAUAUUGAUUUUGAAGAGAGGAAAAGGAAGGAAAUGGAA